GCCUCCCUACGCCUUCGGGUUAUGGGGGGGAAAACUCUGACUGUUGUUUGUGCCUAUGCCUCAAACCGCAGUUCUGAGUAUUCGGCCUUCUUGGAGACCCUGAAUGGAGCCCUGCAGGGGGCUCCAGUAGGGGACUCCGUAGUCUUGCUGGGAGACUUCAACGCACACGUGGGAAGCGAUGGAGACACCUGGAGAGGCGUGAUUGGGAGGAAGGGCCUCCCUGAUCUAAACCCGAACGGUCGUUUGUUGUUGGACUUCUGUGCUAGUCAUGGAAUGGCCAUAACAAACACCAUGUUAGAACAUAAGGAUGCUCAUAAGUGCACGUGGUACCAGAGCACCCUAGGCCAAAGGUCAAUGAUCGAUUUCGUAAUCGUAUCAUCUGAUCUGAGGCCGCAUGUUUUGGACACUCGGGUGAAGAGAGGGGCGGAGCUGUCGACUGAUCACCAUCUGGUGGUGAGUUGGAUCAAGGGGUGGGGGAAGACUCUGGACAGACCUGGUAAACCCAAACGGGUAGUGCGGGUGAACUGGGAACGUCUGGAGGAAGCCCCUGUCCUGGGGAUCUUUAACUCACACCUUCGGCGGAGCUUUUCAGCCAUCCCUGUGGAGGUUGGGGGCAUUGAACCUGAGUGGGCGAUGUUCAAAACCUCUAUUGCUGAAGCUGCGGUGAUGAGCUGUUGUCUCAAGGUCUUAGGUGCCUCAAGGGGCGGUAACCCUCGAACACCGCGGUGGACCCCGGUGGUCAGGGAAGCCGUCCGACUGAAGAAGGAGUCCUUCCGGGUUAUGUUAUCCAGGAGGACUCCGGAAACAGUUGCAGGGUAUCGAAGGACUAGAAGGGCGGCAGCUUCUGCCGUGUCAGAGGCAAAGCAGCGGGUGUGGGAGAAGUUCGGAGAAGCUAUGGAGAAGGACUUUCGGUCGGCACCAAGGUGCUUCUGGAAAACCAUCCGGCACCUCAGGAGGGGGAAGCGAGGAACCAUCCAAGCUGUGUACAGCAAGGGUGGGACCCUGCUGACUUCAACUGAGAAGAUUAUCGGCCGCUGGAAGGAGCACUUUGAGGAACUCCUGAAUCCGACUAACACGCCCUCUAUGGUUGAGGCAGAGCUGGAAGCUGAUGGGGGAUCAUCGUCAAUUUCCCUGAUGGAAGUCACUGAGGUAGUCAAACAACUCCACAGUGGCAAAGCCGCAGGGGUUGAUGAGAUCCGUCCAGAAAUGCUGAAGGCUUUGGGUGUUGAGGGGCUGUCUUGGUUGACACGCCUCGUCAACAUUGCGUGGAAGUCUGGGACAGUGCCUAGGGGGUGGCAGACCGGGGUGGUGGUUCCCC
rnacentral:lncRNA from 1 species